rnacentral:rRNA from 1 species
GACAGAGGGUGCAAACGUUGUUCGGAAUUACUGGGCGUAAAGCGCGUGUAGGCUGUUUUGCAAGUCGGAUGUGAAAGCCCCGGGCUCAACCUGGGAACCGCGCUUGAGACUGGAGUACUAGAGUUCGGGAGAGGAUGGUGGAAUUCCUGGUGUAGCGGUGAAAUGCGCAGAUAUCAGGAGGAACACCAAUUGCGAAGGCAGCUCGCUGGGACGUUACUGACGCUGAGACGCGAAAGCGUGGGGAGCGAACAGG